rfam:TPA: Bos taurus chromosome 12, whole genome shotgun sequence.
UCCCUGAUGGUUUAGUGGUUAAGAUUCUGCUCUCCCAAUGCAGGGAGCUGGGGUUCAAUUCCCGGUCAGGGAA